rnacentral:rRNA from 1 species
GUCACGCUGUAGACGAUGUCGAUUUGGAGUUUGUUGCCUAGAGUGAUGGGCUCCGAAGCUAACGCGAUAAAUCGACCGCUGGGGAGUACGGCCGCAAGGUUAAAACUCAAAUGAAUUGACGGGGGCCCGCACAAGCGGUGGAGCAUGUGGUUUAAUUCGAUGCAAUGCGAAGAACCUUACCUGGUCUUGACAUCCAUAGAAUUCUGCAGAGAUGUGGGAGUGCCUUCGGGAACUAUGAGACAGGUGCUGCAUGGCUGUCGUCAGCUCGUGUUGUGAAAUGUUGGGUUAAGUCCCGCAACGAGCGCAACCCUUAUUCUUUGUUGCCAGCGAUUUGGUCGGGAACUCAAAGGAGACUGCCGUUGAUAAAGCGGAGGAAGGUGGGGACGACGUCAAGUCAUCAUGGCCCUUACGACCAGGGCUACACACGUGCUACAAUGGCGUAUACAAAGGGAAGCGAAGGUGCGAGCUGGAGCGGAUCUCAUAAAGUACGUCUAAGUUCGGAUUGGAGUCUGCAACUCGACUCCAUGAAGUCGGAAUCGCUAGUAAUCGUAGAUCAGAAUGCUACGGUGAAUACGUUCCCGGGCCUUGUACACACCGCCCGUCACACCAUGGGAGUGGGUUGCACCAGAAGUAGAUAGCUUAACCGCGAGGGGGGCGUUUACCACGGUGUGAUUCAUGACUGGGGUGAAGUCGUAACAAGGUAACCA